AAUCCAGCCCAGGAGGGCGGGGCUCCUGCACGCCGCUCCCUGCCCGACUUCCGGCCCGCCGGGCGCCUAUUGUCACACCCAGCUGCCGACCUGUACCGGGAUUCUUGUCCCAGCCUGCAGUGUCUCCAUCACAGAAGGGAAUGUUAGAACCCCGUCUGUGUUAGAGACAGAGAGCUGUUAGGGGUAGCGGCUCUGCAGCCCAUCACAUGGAUUGAAUCUCAGCUCGUCUAGUUUUCCCAUCUAAAAUGAAAAGUAGGCCGGGCGCGGUGCCUCACGCCUAUAAGCCCAGCACUUUGGGAGGCCGAAGCCGGUGGAUCACGAGGUCAAGAGAUCAAGACCAUCCUGGUCAACAAGGAAUAUGGAACACAGAGGAACAAGAUACAACAAGGAGGCAAACUCAAAAAUCCAUACUGAGGAACAUUCUAAAGGAAAAGUGACCCAGUUUCUGCAGGAAAUUGAUGGUAUAAUAAAGGCUGGGUGAGUUAAGGAAUGCUCUAGAGUAAAGAGAAUUCAGAGGGUAAUAGAUGUGGCAGUAUGUGGACCUUAUUCGAAUCCUGAUUUGAACAACUGUAUACAGACAUUUUUCAGACAACAGGAGACAUUUUAUUUAUUUUAUUUUAUUAUUAUUUUUUUUUUGAGAUGGAAUUUCACUUUUGUUACCCAGGCUGGAGUGCAAUGGCGCAAUCUCGGCUCACCGAAACCUCCGCCUCCUAGGUUCAGGCAAUUCUCCUGCCUCAGCCUCCUGAGUAGCUGGGAUUACAGGCACGCGCCACCAUGCCCAGCUAAUUUUUUGUAUUUUUAGUAGAGACGGCGUUUCACCAUGUUGACCAGGAUGGUCUCGAUCUCUUGACCUGGUGAUCCACCGGCCUCGGCCUCCCAAAGUGCUGGGAUUACAGGCGUGAGCCACCGCGCCUGGCCGGGAGACAUUUUAUUAAUGGAGUGUGAGCAAAUAAUCAAUAAACUAUUGUUAAUUUUG